rnacentral:rRNA from 1 species
UACGUAGGCAGCAAGCGUUGUUCGGAAUUACUGGGCGUAAAGAGUGUGUAGGCGGUGCUCUAAGUUCGGUGUGAAAUCUCCCGGCUCAACUGGGAGGGUGCGCCGGAAACUGGGGUGCUGGAGCGCGGGAGAGGAAAGCGGAAUUCCUGGUGUAGCGGUGAAAUGCGCAGAUAUCAGGAAGAACACCCGUGGCUAAGGCGGCUCUCUAGUACGUGACUGACGCUGAGACGCGAAAGCGUGGGGAGCGAACAGG